rnacentral:lncRNA from 1 species
CAAGUAGAAUGUUAUAAUAAUAUAAAUGACUCAGUGGAGUAAUGUGUUUGGUUUUCAUAGAAAUAAAGGGUUUUUUUCUGCCUCUACAAAAGGAGGAAUAAGGCUAGUGGUUUAUAAAAAGGCUAAUCCUUGAAUUGAGACUCCGAGGAUGACUGAGAGUUUUUCAACAAAGGAGGGAAUAGGUGAUAGGCAAUGAUAUUUAGGCAGUGACAUUUUAAAGAACAUAUCCUCUGGAAUCUGCAGAUAGGUUGGUGUGUUUACACCGCAGGUUUAAAAAGUGGAAGUGGCAAGAGAUAGGGAGAGGGCAGCCCUCACUCUUCCAGGCUUUUGGCUUUUAUCUCCUAGGUGAUAAGAAUGGCAGAAUGAUGUUCAGCUUGGGAGUAACAAGAUUGGAUUUGCAUUGUUAAAAGGCCUCUGUAAAGCAGUAAAGGAUCAGUUAGAGGGGAAGAAUGCUUGAAGGGAGCACACUGUUAACAUUUUGUAGGGAGAGAGCAAAGACAGUUCAACCACAGCAGUCUUAGAAAUGGAGAAAAAGGGCAAAGAAUAAAAUAAAAGAUAGUUUAGAAGAGUGAAUUGAGAAGACUUGGUGAAAAAUUGAAUUAUCUAUUAACCACUAUACUGUGUUUUAUAUUGUGACACUCUUAUAUGUUUUCUAGAAUUGGUUUAACUGUGUUUUCAUCAUUUUUGACAGUUCAGACCCUUGUACGUGACUGUCAAAUUAUCAGAGAGACUAAAGAAAACCAGAUUGCAGAGCUAAAAAAGAUAUGUGAACAAAGUACAGAAUCUCUGAAUAAUGAUUGGGAAAAGAAGCUCCACAAUGCUGUAGCAGAAAUGGAAAAAGAAAAAUUUGAGCUUCAAAAGAGACACACUGAAAAUAUUCAAGAAUUACUUGAGGAUACAAAUGUACGACUAAAUAAAAUGGAGGGUGAAUACAUGGCACAAACACAGUCCACAAACCAGAUGGUCAAAGAACUGGAGGCCCGUGUCCACCAGCUUACUGGAGAAGCAGAGAACAGUAAUUUACAGAGGCAGAAAUUAAUUCAAGAAAAAUCAGAGCUUGAAAGAUGUUACCAGAUAACAUGUAGUGAAUUACAAGAAGUG